UUUCUCUUAUCAUGUGCAGGGGCCUUCUUGGGACUUCCCACCAGCCCACUAAGGGCUGGUGCGAUACCCCUUACACGUUGCGACAUUUGAUACACAUAAAACAUUCCUCCGGUGUCAGUGAGUUAUAUGAUCUCAUGGUCAUAGGAACAAAUACUUGACACGCAGAAAACAGUAGCAACAAAAUGACACGAUCAACAUGCUACGUUUAUUAGUUUGGGUCUAGUCCAUCACAUGAUUCACCUAAUGAUGUGAUCCAGUUAUCAAGCAACAACACCUUGUACAUAGUUACAAGACCCUGACUAUCCUCGAUCAACUGGCAAG
rnacentral:lncRNA from 1 species